CUCAGAUCCUCUGGGUAACGCCUCUUUUUAAAGCUGGUGCUUGUUGGGCACCUCCUACCCCCAAAUUGGAGCCUGAAACCAAACCACGUGGAAAAAGAACAGCCAAAGUCCAUUUCUCAUUUAUUAAACAAGUUCUUCAGUGGAAAACCUCCUUAGGUUCAGAAGGCCCUGAAGUGACUCGGAGAUGCUUAGAGGAGGGAAGGGGAAAUUCGGGGAGAUGGCAGGUUACCCGAUGAUGUGAGUGAGUAAAAGCUUUGACCUCAGUUUGCGAUCUUGUUUCCUAGCCGAGUCCCAACUCCAGGGGAGCCACCCCGCUCCCACAUCGCUGUCCCGAUUCCCAGCUGUGCCUGCGAGUUCUGCACCCUCACCCCGGGGUUGCCGGUAUCUAUCUGCAGUCUCUGUUCAGAGGCUCCUUGCCCGGCAAGACUCCUCGGUUUGGGCCUCCCCGCCCCACCAUCUUCCCUCCCUGCGCCCCGUGCGGGGAGGGCAGGACGCUCAGCACCCCGCUGUGCUGUGCUGUGCUGUGGAGACCGGGGGUCCCCACUCAGCCUUCCUGCCCGCAAGCCGGGGAGUCACUGCAGCUGGUGCUGGGGUGGCGGGGUCAGCAUUGCCCUCAUCUUCACCCGGUGUCCCCGUGCCCCAUCCCCCGCGAUUACAUUGGUUUCCGGACCCCUAUUCCUGCCGCCCCGCUCUCUGGAGAGGGAUCGGGCAUCCGGGAGGGUUUGGGGGCGCCGCAGCCUGCCCCUACCCCCUGCAGCCCCCCCCCCCACUUGUGUCCCCUCUGGCCGCUGAGCAGGGACAGCUGCAUUCCCGCCGCCCGCCGCUAGGCCGCCGGCCGCGCCUCGCAUUCUCCGCCUCCCGCACCCGCCGCGUCGGGCCCGCCGCUGCCACCGCGGGAUCGCUGCCCUUCCCCGGCCCCCCGCCCCACGGCCGCGGGCAGCGGACGGACACGCGUGACGGCUGCUCGGGACCAGUGAGCAUGACCAGUCUGUGCAAGUCUGACAACAGCGGAACUGGUCUAUCCCCUACUCAGAAAGGCAAGUCCUCGGAUCACAUGCUUGGAUGGGGUGCUAAUGCCAACUUGCAAGUAAGGUUUUGAAAUCUUUCCCUGUGUUCUUUCUCUGUACUUAGCUUGCCAGGGACCCCUAGCUAGUCAUUUGCGGGUGGUCUGUAGAUAUGUUUUUAUUUAUUUAAGACAAACUAAUUUCCAGAAGUUGUCUUGAGACAUCAACUUUAUCUCUCCUAUUUCCCCGAUCAAUUUUUUUUUUUUUUGGUACCGGAGAUCGAACUCGGGACCUUAGGCUUGAGAGGCAGGCAGCAGCACCACUGAGCUAGAUCCCUGGCUGUAGAUAUGCUUUUAAUGCCCCAAUCUAGAACCCUGUCUUUAGAACCAAAUAGACCCAGGUUUGAAUCCCAGUACUCUCUUGUACUUUAUUGGCAGCUGUGAAGCCUCCCAGACCCUUAAUUUUGUCAUCUCUGAAUUGGAGCUGAUAAUGCUCCUGUUUCAUAGGGUCAGAGUGAGGAUUAAAGAAGAGCAGGUAAAGCAGGGAGCCCAGCACACACAGAAUUCGUGUGACCUAAUAUGGGUGUCGAAGGUUGGCAGCAGCAUCAUUGUUAUUUGCUGUGUUGGAGCAUCUGGACAUGAGGAGAAUGCCCUCAGGUAAGGGACAUUCUUGUUUUUAGGCAGACAGUGGUCUUUGAAACAGUAGCAAAUUAGUUUGGAACAGAGACUUUUCCUCCAGCUGGGCAUGGUGGUGCAAGCCUGUAAUCCCAGCACUUGGGAGGAUGAGGCAGGAGGAUCACUGAAUGUUCGAGGGCAGCAUGGGCUACAUAGUGGGACCCUGUCUCAAAACAAAACAAACUAAAAAAAAAACAACAAAAGAAUAAAGAAACUUUGCCUUCCUAGCUAAUUUCUGGUAGGUUGGGCUGCUGUUAAUGAAAUUACUUAACAUAGAUCCAAACAAAACCCAGGGUCAGAAUUGGGACAAUGUCAGAACUUGUUUUUAAGCAGUGGAAAGAAGUGAUAAACACUGUAGGAAAUCCCUUAAUCUACUAGGACCUGGCUGUUGACGCUUUCUCUCCUUCCACUCAGUGCAUUUCCUGAUACUGUCUCCCAAGCAGGCUGGGUGGAUUUUCAAUGCUAGGUUGCCUAGACUUUCAAACUGCCAGUCCAUUCUCCCUUUGUAGAAAAAUGCAGGCAGCCCUCUGGGGAGCAAGGCCAUGAAGGGAAAAAGUAGAGGACUCAGCUCAGCCAGGUCUGUGUUCUGGAAUCAACUUAGCAAAGCAUUGGAGUGUUACCCUGUUGGUCAUUGGUUCUUACCUUUUGCUGGCCCCAGACCCCUUUGAUAAUUGAAGAGAAUUUUGAUACCCCUCCUCACCCUGACAAGGGCAUGCACACACGAACACAUUAAAUUGUGCAUUUAACUUCACAGAGGCUCAUGGGCUGCAUAGAGCCCUCACAUACCAUUGGCUAAGAACCCGGUACCCGGAGGAGAAUAGCGUUCCAUGCAGGGUCUUUGCAUCGGGUGUGGGGGAAUUGUGUCCUUCCUCUACUUGCUGGCCUGUUGAUCUUGGGUAGUUAUUUCUCCUCUCUAAGCCGCAGGUUCCCCAUCUAUAAAGUUCCGAU
rnacentral:lncRNA from 1 species